CCAGGAUCGAGCAGUAGUCUCAUAUUUGGCUCUGUCCGUCUUGUACAUGUGAGCAAUCUCAGGCACCAAUGGAUCAUCUGGGUUGGGAUCAGUCAGGAGAGAGCAGAUUGACAAAAGAACCUUGGAAAUAGUAAGGGCAGGGCUCCAUUGCUCUUUGAGAAUGUCAAGACAAAUGCUUCCAUUACUGUUGAUGUUGGGAUGGAAAACCUUUGUACGGAAGGAAACCUAUUCAGAUCAUCUUUAAAGUUAGAAGGAAACCAAAACUAAGCAAGAACUUAAAACAUGUUAUUCAAUAAUGCAUCGAUAAACAAUAAGACUACAAGAAAGAUGCAAUGAGCAAGUUAAAAAAUUUUAUGUCUCCCCAGCGUUACUAAGACCUUGCAAAAUCAGGCCCGAGAAAAAUAUACAACAAUAAAAGUUCUAAAACAACAAAUCCACAGAAAUUGCCUAGCAGCGACAUUAUAUACACAAUGUUCAUUCAGAUCCUACACUUCCACACAUUAUAAACUAAGCUAUAGGAAAAGGUAUAGAACUAUUCCCAUUCACUUCACUGUUUACAAUCGUUUGCAUAAUGUCCCAUGCAAAAAUACGAUAGAAAAAGUAUUCAAGCACUGAUAACAAUGCUGAAAUGCUCAUUCAAUCUUUUAUUAGCAAGAGAACAAAAGAACUAGAUAAUUUUAAUAUUUUGUUUAUAAUUUUUAGAAAGGUAGGACAAUCUAAAAAUAUGAAUCACAAGACAAAAGCAGUAUAUUCGUUACCUUGGGUGGCUUGAAAGGAUAAUCAGGAGGAAAGUGAAUUGAUACAAGAAACACACCACCAGCAAAUGGGCUAUCAGCUGGACCCAUGAUUGUUGCUUGCCAGUGGAACAUGUCAUCAGCAACUGGUCCUGUAUACAUGCACGCUUGUAAAAUAAUAAAACAAGCUAAAACAACACAUAUUUUGGGUAAAAUCUAAUUAGUCUCAUCAACUUUCUGGGCAUGACUUAGAGUCUGUUCUAAAGAUUAGAAAUGAAAAUGCUUCUCAAGGUCAUGAAGUAACUAAUCCCACUGAAACCAUGCACUUCUACAAACUGAUCGAUUAUGCCUCCAGAGACCCAAACUAGAAAAAUAAACCCAAUUGACAAUAUCUUUUUAGGUUGAAAAAGAAAAAAAAUGAGGUGGUCAGCAAACAACAGGUGCUCUAAGAAGAACUAAUCAAAUGUAUCAUCAAGGGCUUUCUUAUCACCAUUAUCUUUGUCCUUUCUACACAACUGUUUCUUAUGUCAGCCAUGUACAAUAGUAAUUAAGGCUUAGAUGGCUUUAAUGAGUUAAAACUAAUACAAAGUUUACAAACAUGCAAUCGAUUUUAUCAAAUACAAUCACAAGUGUGAAGUAUGCAUAUAGAUCAAUCUUCAGCAUCAAAUUUCUCCAAAUUUUGGUAAUACAAGACUGAUAACUCUACUCGGCAAUAUUAUUGUAGUAAAGAAACGAACCAGCACUGCAUGAAGCUGGAGGGUCACGCUGCAGGUCCUUCAAUUCCUUGUUAAUCCGCUUUGAAGCCAUCACAAAUUCUCUGUUGAUUAGGGUUCAAUGGCAGGACUAAAUUUGGAGCGCAAAUUUAUUUGGGAUGGCGUAGAGAUAGAACUUUGUGAGUUUAUAUUUGUAAGAGUAAAGCGAAAGAGAGAGAAUCUGUGAGAUGCUUUAGGUGCCUUAAGGCGGUGACUCUUUGCCACGAAUGCAGAUUACUUGGCGCUUUCUUACUUGCUUGUUUUCCUUUCACCUUUGAUAUUCUGUGCCUUCGUUUGGUUCCUUAUUGGGCAC
rnacentral:misc_RNA from 1 species